rnacentral:rRNA from 1 species
AAAGGGGCUUCGGCCCUGAGUAAAGUGGCGGACGGGUGAGUAACACGUGGAUGAUCUACCCUUCAGCGGGGGAUAACAGUCCGAAAGGAUUGCUAAUACCGCAUACGUCGGCCGGGGAUGCCCGGUCGGGAAAGCAGCCCACUCCAUGGAAGGUUGCACUGAAGGAUGAGUCCGCGUCCCAUCAGCUAGUUGGUAGGGUAAUGGCCUACCAAGGCGAAGACGGGUAGCUGGUCUGAGAGGAUGAUCAGCCACACUGGAACUGAGACACGGUCCAGACUCCUACGGGAGGCAGCAGUGGGGAAUAUUGGGCAAUGGGCGCAAGCCUGACCCAGCCACGCCGCGUGAGUGAUGAAGGCCUUCGGGUCGUAAAGCUCUGUGGGGAGGGACGAAAAAACGCUGGCUAACAUCCAGCGGCCUGACGGUACCUCCUUAGCAAGCACCGGCUAACUCUGUGCCAGCAGCCGCGGUAA